CCUACGGGGGGCAGCAGUGGGGAAUCUUGGACAAUGGGGGCAACCCUGAUCCAGCGACGCCGCGUGGGUGAAGAAGGCCUUAGGGUUGUAAACCCCUUUCACCGGGGAGGAUGAUGACGUUACCCGGAGAAGAAGCACCGGCUAACUCCGUGCCAGCAGCCGCGGU
rnacentral:rRNA from 1 species